CCCCUCCCUCCUCCGCUCUCUCCCCUUCUCCCCUUCCCCCUUUCUCCGUAGAGGGGAAGAUUGCUGCACAUACCGCCCUCAGCUCGGCUGUUCUGAGCACUCCGAGCACAGGGGAUGAGCUUGAAAUCAUCUUGGGGUGGGGAAAAGCCCAGGACGGGAAAAGCUGGCUCAACCCCAAAGAUUUCUGCUGCCCAACUUUACUCCGGGGGGGCUAGCUAGACAGCAUCUCACUGCCUGCUGCGUGGCCGACAGGGGACACAAAGCUAUCCCGGGGCAGCAGAACAGUGUGCAGAAGAGGAAUUCCAAGCUACAGGGACUUGGAGACAAGAAGCUGGGAAAGUCCUACCAAAGCAAACUCUAGCUAAACAAACAGGAUGCUGCUCUCUGUUGUUUACAAGGUCAC
rnacentral:lncRNA from 14 species